rnacentral:lncRNA from 1 species
CUAGUCACAAAAAAAUAAAUUAAUGAAAAAACUUACUAUUUUAAGGGCAUGUUUGGUUCAUGAUUGGAAUAGAAAUGAGAAAUAAAAUUAGAUUGCUUUGGAAUGGAAAAUGAAAUGACAAAUCAUACAAAAAUAUUUGGUUUAUUAUUGGAAUGAAAAUCGGAAUGAAAAUUUAAAAUUUUUGAGAGAAGAUUUUGAUUAAGAGAGAGGAAAUGAUGAAGGAAGAGGAGUUAGGUGUUGAUGAAAGAGGAUUUUGAAUAGUUUACUUAAAAAUGAGCCAAUCCGGAAUUCAAUGCCGGAUUGGAUCAUAAAUGGAUUUGGCCAUUCCCAUUCCGGAGUGGAAUGGGAAUCGGAAUCCGAUUCCUAUAAAACAAACGGUAAUUAUCAGAAUCAAUAAAUUUCAUUCCGAUUCCAUAGUCUAAAAUAGGUGAACCAAACAUGCCCUAAGUUCAAAUUCUCUCUUAAACAGUGUAGAUUUUUUAAAACUACUCUAACAAACCAUGCAUUAUCUAUUUACUAUAUACUAAAAUAGAACUGACACGUGACUUUCUAUAUGCUUGUCACGUGUCAAACUGAAAUAUAUAAUAGCAAUUUAGUAAAUAGAUUAGGAAACACUAUUAAAUCAAAUUAAAUCACUAUUAAACACUAUUAAAAUAAUUAUAUAUACAAUUAACUAUAAUUUUAUUAGGAAACACUAUUAAACACUAUUAAAUUAAAUUUGGCUAUCAAUUAGAUGGUUAAAAAUAGAAUUUUAUUAGGAAACGCUAUUAAAUCAAAUUAUACCAAUUAAGUAUAAUUAUAUAUACAAUUAAAUAGAAUUUUAUUAGGAAACACUAUUAAACACUAUCCACAUGUCAAACUCAAAUAUAGCAAUUUAGUAAAUAGAUUAAGAAACACUAUUAAAUCAAAUUAAAUCACUAUUAAACACUAUUAUUAUAAUUAUAUAUACAAUUAACUAGAAUUUUAUUAGGAAACACUAUUAAACACUAUUAAAUCAAAUUAUAAUUAUAUAUAGAACUAACUAGAAUUUUAUUAGGAAACACUAUUAAACACAAUUAAAUCAAAUUAUAAUUAUAUAUAUAAUUAAUUAAUCAAAUUACAUGUUUAUCAUGCAUCUUUUUAUAUGCUUGCCACAUGUCAAACUCAAAUAUAGCAAUUUAGUAAAUAGAUUAAGAAACACUAUUAAAUCAAAUUAAAUCACUAUUAAACACUAUUAUUAUAAUUAUAUAUACAAUUAACUAGAAUUUUAUUAGGAAACACUAUUAAACACUAUUAAAUCAAAUUAUAAUUAUAUAUAUACAAUUAAAUCAAAUUAAAUCAAAUUAAAUAUUUAUCAUGUAUCUUUCUAUAUANUGAUUGGAGGCGAGGAGGGCGGGGUGUGCGCAUGCGAGAGCGAGGGCGAAGGCGAGGGCGAGGGUGUGAGGGGCAGAGGAGGGGGGGCCGUUUCCGCCUCCGCCUCCGCGGACUUCUUCUGCGAGAAAAAAAAAAAGAACGCGGCAAAAAAAAAGGAUAGAGAAAAAAAAAGUAUAAGAGUAUUUUAAUCAGUUUGUUGAAAAUUUGGACCGAAUCUGUAAAAUCGAAAAAGACCGUCCAAUUUUACAAAAGCUCAAAACUUGUAGAUUUUUUAUGCAAAUUGGCCAAAAUUUUGUCCAGAUUCAUCCAUGUAAAGCAAAAAAAAAAUUCACUAUGUAUAUACAUAUAUAAUAUACUUCCUUUCCUUUUUAAGCAUUAUUAUGCAUACUAGCUAUGGGCCCGUGCGACACCGCGGGGAAAUAAUAUUUUAAUUAUUUUUUAGAAUAUUUAUUUUUUUAAAUACGUAUAAUUUUAUGAAGAUAUAAAAAUAUAUAAUAAUAUAUGUAAUAGAAAAUACAUUCCCACAAAUCAGAUAUAAUAUUUCACACUAAUUUUAUACGAAAUACAUUCAUUUCAAAAAUUUUAUAAUAUUAUAUAAUAUUAAAGUUAAAUAAAGUAUUACCUAACUAAAAUAGUAAGAGAACAUAAAAUAGCGCACUAUCAAAAAAUAAAAGAUUCACAACAAUUGUCUAUUUAUAAAAAAUAAAUCAACCAGAUAUAUAUCUAUUUUUUUAUAUUGUAUUUAUAAAAUUUUAUUAUAAAAGUAAAAUUUCAGUAAUUUUUAUAUUUAGACUUUUUAUAUAUUAUAGGGUGCAGUUAUUAGGUUAAACUCUAAUUUUAUCAUAUAAAUUAUUAAAAAAUAGUUUUUUUGUUUAUGUACGAAUUUUUAGACGCGACGUAAACAAAAAGAAAAGAAAAGAAAAGGUAAUGGGAGAGAGGGGGGAGCGGAGAAAGUGGGUGGGCCCCACCAAUGCUCCAAAAAAAGGAGAGCUCAAAACUAAACUUUAUUUAUGUUAAAGCUAAAGUCAAAUGGAAGAAUAUGUAAGAAUGUUUAUACACCGAACGUGUAAUUUUUUUUACACAGUAUUUAUGAAGUUUUAUUAUAGCGGUACAAAUCUAUUAAUUUUUGUAUCUAUAUUUUUUAUAUAUUAUAGAUCGUACUUAUCAGAUGAAAUUUUAAUUUUGUUAUAUUAAUUAUUAAAAAAUAGGCUUUUUUUUCUCUCUCUCACUCUCUUUCUCACACACCCUACACCCUUUUUUUUAAAUUUUUUCUCUCAAUACCUUUUCUUUUUUGUUUUUUUCUACAUCAAGUGUAAAAUUUUAUCAUAUGCACCAACCCUAUUUUUUAAUAGUCGAUAUAACAAAAUUAAAAUUUCAUACGGUAUAAAAAAAGUUGUACACCAAGUAUAUAAGAUAUGCUCAUAUAUAAUCUAUAAUUUGAUUUCUUCUUUGUUUUGUCUAUACCAAGUAUAAAAUUUUAGCACAUGAAUCAACCCUAUUUUUUACAUUUAGGGGCCGUUUGAUUGUAUGUAGUUGCAACUACACUGCAGUUGUAACUACAUAUAUAUGCAAAUUUGGUGUUUGGUUUGAUAUAUUUAACUCCAACUGCUGCAGUAGGAACUGCAGGAGGAGGCUCAACUGCAGCAGUUCGAACUACGCCCAAAUUGGAUGCAGUUUCAACUGCAGCAGUUGGAGAGAGUAAUUUUAAAUAAAAGACAUGCUUACAUCAUUAAUAAUUUUUAAACCAAAAUUAUUUUUCUUCUUUACAUUGAAAGUAAUCUCACCAUCAUAUAUAUAAAAUGAUAAAAUUUUAAAAAUUAUCUCUUAGCUGCAUGCAACCAAACAAAUUAUCUAACUUGCAGCGCUUUCUACUACAUUCAACCAAUCAGAAUUCUUAUAGUUGUAACUGCUGUAUUUCUAACUGCAUGCAUCUCUAACUACACUGUAUUUAUAAUUAGAUCUAACCAAACAGCCCUUUAGUAUAGGAAAAAAUAAAAAAGAAAUGGUGCUAAGAGAAAAAUAAAAUAGAAUAAGAGAUGUCGAGUGUGUGAGAGAGAGAGAGAGUGAGAGAGAGAGCGAAAAAAAAAAAAAAGUGGCCCCACCUCUUUGCUUGAGGAGACUAUUAAAAAAUAAGGUUAGUCCAUGUGCUAAAAUUUUAAGGAGACUGUGAGAUCCCUGGUGUUUGACUGUAGAGGUUUGUCGACAGCUCUGGAGAGUGUCGGGACAAGCCCGAGUCGCGUUGGCGUCAAAUAGACGUAAAACGGACUCCGUCGGACGCGAGAGCAGCCUUCAGCGAAGAAAUCUGCGAAAUAGCAGAUUUUUCUGCUUGUUGUACCGGUACAGCCAUCAUGGCGUACCGGUACACUAUACUGAUGCCGCGUAAUCUGCUCUCGGGUUGCUUCCUGUACCGGUACGCAAUCCCGUGUACCGGUACACCAGGGUAGGUGAGAGGGUGUUUUGGUCUUUUCUCUCCCUCGUUUGUAUCGAUUCCUUCUCUCUCUCUCUAUAUCAGUUGGUAACCGAGCAGAGGAAGAGAGAGAAGGCUUUUGUGCUUUCUUCUUUCUCUCUUUCUCUAAGCUUGGUGGAGGUGGAGCACGGUUGAGCCGGGGAUUCGCCGACGUCGCGCCGCGAGCCGUUCGAGCGAGCGUUUGUUGCCGGGGCAUUGCGAAGAGGCCGGGCGAGGGUGCGUCUUCGCCGUCCUGGACAUCGCGCCGAGGAUUGUCGCUGUUGAGGUGAGCAUUUUGGUCGCAAUUGCUCCGAGUACUUCGGGUAUCGUUGAUUUGAGCUUAAGUGCUGUUUUCGCAGAAUCUACCGUCGACUGUUAGUAUUUCGGCUCGUUCUCCGCGUAGGAGCGUCGGAUCGCGACGAAACUUGGUUCAUUGGAUUCUAGACUGCGAGAGGAUUCCACGGAGCCCUCACUUGCAAUUUUUGGACGAGGUUAGCUUGGUCGAAACUUGGUCUCUUUCAGCUGCUGUGAACUUAGGCUGAUUUGUGAUGUUUUGGUCGUUUUAGCUCGGCGACCGGUCUAGGUGGUCCCUGAGGAAUCCAGCAGCAUCGCGGGUGGCCGAGGCUGAGUUCGCUGCCAGGAAAUUGCACUUGAGGUGGGUUACAUCGGUUUUAUCUCCUAAGUUCAUAAUCGUCAACAUGUAUAGAUCUUGAGUUUGAUAAUUUAUUCUAGCUCGAAUUCAUGGAUUAUAUGAUAGAAUGCAAAUCUGAAUUUGGAGUAUGUGGUAAUAAAUUAAGUAGAUUAUAUAUGUUGGACUUGGAAACUGAAUUAGGAGAAAACCUGCGAUUUGGACCUGUCACCAGUUUUAACUACCUGAUUUAGCUCUAGGAGCCGUUAGAAAAUUGUACUGUCGCAGUUUCUUCGAGACGAGUACUCCAGGUAGUUUAGAAUGUAUUUACACUCGUGCUGGUUCGCCGAGUGGAUUUUUACAGGGUCGUUCAGGUCGUUUCGGACUGUUGGGUGCCGUCAGAGUUGACGGUGGACCCGUAUCGCCUUUUUGGCGUCAGAUUGUGCCGAGGGCACGUUACCUGUUGGUUGUUAGACCAGUUUGAGUCGAUUACUUGACUUUGGCUAGUUGGAGCCUGAUUGAGCUCGACAGAGAUACGCUGCAUACUCGGUUGGGUAGCGCCCACGAGUGCCACUCCGGAGUCAGGCUUGUGCUUUUGCGUUGGUGUCGCUCAUGCCAGUUGGACUUGCUCUCCACGGACCAGUUAGAGUGGAUAGAGCCCGAUAGUCGCAACGGGGCAGGGACGGGUGUAUUCACAGUCCCGGGGACGGGUAUGCUUACAGUCCCGAUUGGAUUGGGUCAGAUUUGACAUUUCCUACAGUUGGUUAGUGUAGAGCAUGAUAGUGUAGUGGAUGAUAGCGGUAGAGUAUGCUUCCUGCUUUCCUUCUAUCCUUGCUCCCUUCUGUAGACUUAGUGGGUGACCGAUGUUGUUUUGGGCGGUACCCACUGAGGACUACUUGUUUUUACAGUAGUUCUCACGCCCAGUUGUUACCUAUGUUUUUGCAGAGCCACAGGUUCCGGCUGCUGCACCGUCUGCGGACCAGGAUCGAGGCAAGGGCGUCGCGAGUUAGAGCCCUACCCGACGUGCUGAGCUAGAGGUGCCCUACUGCAGGUAGAUGUUUUGUUUCGAGUUUAUGUACAUAGUUGACUUAACUCGCCAGUGCGAGUAGCUCUGUAUUUUGGAUCUGAACUAUGUAUAUGAAACUCUGUUUUAUUUAGCUUCAGUUUUCUCUAGCAGCUCUCUACUACUGUUCGUAGUAGUGUUUGAUUUACAGGUACAGCUAUCGCUUCGUAUACAGGGAAAAUUUCUUUGUAUACGGCGGAUUUGUCGGCGUGCCCGGGGAACGUGUAAUCCGGGGCGUGACAGAUUAAGUUGGUAUCAGAGCUUUGCUGUAGGUCGUUGGGACCUAGGAAACCUAAGUUUGGCAAACCUUAGGGAAGCAAGACGUGAGAGGCGUAAUUUUAUUGCGAAAGUCAAUGAUUAUUUGUUUUAACUCCUCUUAGAGUAGAGUGAGUGACUGAAGGAGUUUCUGUUUUGGCCUGAGAAAUUAUGUUGGCUGCAGACGACAUAAUUUUGGAGGAAAACAGGGACCGCCUUCUAGACUUUCGUUGAUUGGGUCGAGAGUGUUGCGUUGUAUCUGACCCCGAUUUGUUCCUUUCAGCUAUGUAUCGUCGCCGAGGUCGACCGUCGUUGCGGGAGCGUGCCCAGUUGGCGCGGGAUCAUGCUGGACCUUCUGAGAGAUCUGAGCAGAUGGAGCAGAGUACUCGGCAGGAGCAGGGUGACAGACUGGGGGCGAGUGUACCCCCUGUUGUGGAGCCGAGUGCGCGACCAGAGACUAGCGCACCCCCUGAUCUGAGUGCACAGUUAGCUGCCCUGACCGAGGUGACGAGACAGCAGGGGGAGCUAUUGCAGAGGUUGUGUGAGAGGAUAGCUCAGCCACCGAGUUCUGUACCGAGGGCACCAGAGUCGCCAGUUCCACCCCCGACUACUCCAGUGACAGCACCAGCUGCAGCAGUUCCUCCAUCGGCAGCAGUUCCAGUAGCGCCAGUUGCGCCUGCUAGGGGGCCAGUACCGUUGACUGAGGCCGAGCAGGAGCGGUGGACGGAGAGGUUAGCUCGUUUUCGCCGAUUUGAUCCACCGAUCUUCGAUGGCAGAGGCACUGAGGCCUGGAUUGUUGAGGGAUGGGUCAGUGCGAUGGAGAAGUUAUUCGAGGAUCUGUUCGUUCCAGAGGGGGAGCAGGUACCCCUGGGAGUACACUGUCUAGCAGGUGAUGCUCAUGACUGGUGGCGGAGGACGAGGCGAGACCAGGGGCUAGUGGCGGCGCAGCUGAGUUGGGACGAGUUCUGUGGAAUGCUGUUUGGGAUGUUCUUUCCCAACAGUGUGAAGCAGAAGCUCGAGGAGGAUUUGAGGAGGCUUCAGCAGGGAGAUCGCCCAGUGCAGGAGUACGUUCGGGAGUUUACUCGACUCCUGAACUGUGUACCAUUUGUGGCCAGAGACGAGGCGCACCGAGUAUACAUGUUCGAGCAGGGGCUGAGACCGGACAUCUUCAGGUUAGUGCGGGCGCAGAGGUCGAGGACCCUGGAUGCGUCCAUAGAGCAGGCCCUAUGGGUGGAGAGAGGUGAGGUGUCGCUGCAGGAGAGGACUCAGGCCGUGGGGCAGGGUCAGGACAGGAAGCGCCCCUUUCCAGAUGACGGAGGGCAGUCGAGCAGCAGACGUCCGCCGAGACCUCCACGAUCACGUUCUCAGGGUCGUGGGUCUUCGGGGCGUCAGCGUUCCAGGGGAUCCCGUCAGCAGGGGCAGACUCAGAGGACGCCACAGUGUGUGAUCUGCGGGGGACCACACUGGCCUCGGCAGUGCGAGCAGAGAGAGGGCAGGUGCUACGGAUGUGGUCAGCCGGGACACAUGAGGGCAGCUUGUCCCCGAGCAGCAUCUCCAGCACCGUCAUCAGCUUCGGCACCACCAGCACCACAGCAGUCUUACGGAGCAGCACCGAGCUACCGCCAGGAGGACAGAUCGUCUGUGCCGCGGUCGAGUGAGCGGCGACAGCAGGCUCCGAGUGGCAGGGUCUAUGCAGCUCAGGUGGAGGACUCUUCAGCAGCCGACCGAGUGGUGGCAGGUAUCACUUUGAUUUCUGGCAUUAGAGUUCGCACUCUUUUUGAUACCGGUGCAUCGCAUUCCUUUGUUAGCCGAGCAUUUGCAUUGUUGCAUGGUCUAGAGUUAGGAGCGUUGUCUCAGGCACGAGAGGUGCAGAUCCCCGACCAUGUCUUGCAGGUUACAGAGUGUUGUUGGUCCUGUCCGGUGCAGUUAGACUCUUGGAUCAUGCCCGCAGACCUGUUGGUGUUAGGGCAGCUGCAGGACUUCGACGUAGUGCUCGGUAUGGAUUGGCUGGCGCGGUACUAUGCUACGAUCGACUGUGGAGCGAGGACGGUGACGUUCCGCGAGCCAGGCCAGGAGGAGUUUACUUUCAGAGGCUGCAGGAGCACGCUGUUUGCCACCUGGAUAUCUUCGGCGAGGGCUCGACAGAUGCUGAGCAGUGGGUGUAUCGCUUUCCUAGCGACAGUUGUGGAGGUACCUACGGCGGCGCCGAGACUCGAGGACAUCCCAGUAGUCCGCGAGUUUUCGGAUGUGUUUCCCCCUGAGUUGACGACAUUGCCGCCGGAGAGGGAGAUUGAGUUUGUGAUUGAUGUAGUUCCUGGAACUGCACCAAUCUCAAAGGUACCUUACAGGAUGGCACCGGCAGAGCUGAGAGAGCUAAAGGCGCAACUUCAGGAUCUGAUGGAUAGAGGGUUUGUGAGACCCAGUGUGUCGCCUUGGGGAGCGCCGGUGUUAUUUGUAAAGAAGAAGGAUGGUUCGCUCAGGUUAUGUGUGGAUUACCGGGAGCUGAAUAAAGUGACCAUCAAGAACAAGUAUCCUCUGCCGCGCAUUGAUGAUCUAUUCGAUCAGCUGCAAGGAUCUUGUGUCUUUUCGAAGAUUGAUCUCCAGUCAGGUUACCACCAGCUGAGGGUGAGGGCCGAGGAUGUUCCCAAGACGGCUUUUCGGACUCGGUACGGGCAUUAUGAGUUCACGGUGAUGCCUUUUGGAUUGACGAAUGCCCCUGCCGCAUUCAUGGAUUUGAUGAACAGAGUGUUCAAGCCGUUCUUGGAUAGGUUUGUGGUAGUCUUCAUCGACGAUAUCCUGAUUUACUCCCGGAGUGAUGCUGAGCAUGAGGAGCACUUGAGGAUUGUGCUACAGCUUCUGCGCGAGAAGAAGUUGUAUGCCAAGUUAAAGAAGUGCGAGUUCUGGCUACGGGAGGUUGCUUUCUUGGGCCACGUGAUUUCAGCUGAGGGCGUAGCAGUGGACCCGAAGAAGAUUGAGGCGAUUCGAGAUUGGCCUAGACCGACGACGGUUACUGAGGUGCGGAGUUUCCUUGGACUGGCAGGAUAUUACCGUCGGUUUGUGGAAGGCUUUGCGAAGCUUUCCACACCCCUCACGCGCUUGACGCGGAAGGGGAUUCGUUUUGUCUGGAGCGACGACUGUCAGAGGAGCUUUGACGAGUUGAGAUUGAGGUUGAUGUCGGCUCCUAUCCUUGCCCUUCCUGUUAUGGGCGAAGGAUUUGUGAUCUACAGUGAUGCAUCGCACAGUGGACUUGGUUGCGUGCUGAUGCAGCAUGGUAGGGUGAUUGCUUAUGCUUCACGGCAGUUAAAGGAUUAUGAGAAGAAUUACCCUACGCAUGACUUGGAGCUUGCCGCGGUGGUUUUUGCUUUGAAGCUCUGGCGGCAUUACUUGUACGGCGAGCACUGCGAGAUUUUUACUGAUCAUAAAAGUCUCAAGUAUCUGUUCACCCAAAAGGAGUUGAAUUUGAGACAGCGCCGGUGGUUGGAGUUGCUGAAGGAUUAUGACAUCAGUAUCCAGUAUCAUCCCGGCAAGGCGAAUGUGGUGGCAGAUGCGUUGAGCAGGAAGGCAGUGCAGAGCUUGAGUAUGUUGAUCACUCGGCAGAGACCGUUACUCGAGGAGCUGAGACGGCUGGGACUCGAGGUAGUGUCCCCUGGAUUUACUGCGAGAUUGAUGUCUAUGAUCUUGCAGCCCACUCUGUUAGAUAGGAUUCGAGAGAAACAGAGUGGGGAUCCACACUUGUCGAGGAUUCGAGAGCAGCUUGAGAGGGGACAGGCCGAGGGCUUUGUUGUGGACAGUUCGGGAGUACUGCGGUACAGGGACCGACUGUGUGUACCUAUGGAUUCAGAGAUCCGAGAGGACAUCUUGAGAGAGGCUCACUGUUCACCUUAUACGGUUCACCCCGGUGGAACCAAAAUGUAUAAGGAUUUAAAGGCUCAGUUUUGGUGGAAUGGAAUGAAGAGGGACAUUGGUAGAUUUGUGGCUCAGUGUCUGACUUGUCAACAGGUAAAGGCCGAGCAUCAGGUACCUGCUGGCAAGCUUCAGAGUCUACCAGUGCCCGAGUGGAAAUGGGAGCAGAUCACGAUGGACUUUGUCGUCGGAUUGCCGAGAGCACAGGGUGGUUUUGAUGCGAUUUGGGUGAUAGUGGACAGACUGACCAAGUCUGCUCACUUCUUACCAGUGCAGACCACUUGGUCCAGAGAGAGACUCGCUCAGUUGUACUUGGAUGAGAUAGUGAGGUUGCAUGGCGUGCCCACUUCGAUAGUAUCCGACCGGGACCCGAGGUUCGUAUCGCACUUCUGGAGGAGUCUUCAGACGGCCUUGGGCACUCAGUUGCAGUUCAGCACAGCAUUUCACCCACAGACAGAUGGUCAGUCAGAGCGGACCAUUCAGACUCUAGAGGACAUGCUGAGGGCAUGUGUCUUGGACUUUGGAGGAGGGUGGUAUCGGCAUUUGAGACUGGUUGAGUUUGCGUACAACAACAGCUAUCAAGCGAGCAUCCAGAUGGCUCCGUUUGAGGCGUUGUAUGGACGCAGAUGUCGAUCCCCUUUGUUUUGGAGUGAUGUGGGUGAGAGGAGGACGCUUGGGCCUGAGAUUCUGAUUGAGGCUGAGGAAAAGGUAAAAGAGGCGCGACGGCACAUAUUAGCAGCCCAGAGUCGACAGAGGAGCUAUGCUGAUACCCGGAGACGAGACUUGGAGUUCCAGGUGGGAGAUCAUGUUUUUCUUAAAGUCUCGCCGUCCAGAGGGAUUCGCCGAUUUGGUGUACGUGGAAAGCUCAGUCCACGUUUUGUAGGCCCUUUCGAGGUAUUGGAGCGAGUCGGGCCAGUUGCUUACAGGAUUGCUCUACCACCACGGCUAGCCGGCAUUCAUGAUGUGUUCCACGUCUCGGCUUUGAGGAAAUAUGUGUUCGACCCCUCCCACGUGAUCGACUUCACUCCGCUUGAGAUUGGCGAGGACCUGAGCUACGAGGAGCGACCGGUGCGGAUUCUGGCUCGUGAGUCGAGGGAAUUGCGCAACCGGGUCAUACCCUUUGUAAAGGUGCAGUGGAGUAAUCACGAGGAGCGGGAGGCGACUUGGGAGCCGGAGGCGAUGAUGAAGGAGUCCUACCCCUACCUGUUUGAGGCCCUGGAUUGAGGUAUGUGUACAGUUUCGCGGACGAAACUUUUUGUAGUGGGGGAGGAUGUAGUGUUCCUGAGCUUUGGAUAGGAUUGGCUUCAGUAUUAUAGACUGGUCGACAUCUCUGGAGAGUGUCGGACUGAGUCGGAGUCAAUUCUGCACGAAUUGGAUGCAGAAUUGGACUCGGCGCACUCAAAUAAGCAAAACUGGAGUUUUGCCAGAUUCGGGCGCCCAGAACAUUGUUAGGGUCGCCCAGAAACGAGUGUUGAAUUUAACUGAAACUGGAAGCCAAUUCGGAUCCCAUGUUCCGGGCGCCCAGAAGUGGGUCCGGAAAUUUCACCUCGUGAAUAUCGCUUGCUUCGACGCGUGGCAGGGCGGUAGGUGAGUUCCGCCGGUGCCGUUUACGGGCGCAGCACACCGCGGGCGGAGAGUCCGAGGGGCCCAUUUUGUGCAGGCCGGAUGUUCUGGUCGCCCAGAACAUGGUUCCGGGCGCCCAGAAACGCCCGUUUCUGCAGGGGCACUGGAUUGCGGCUAUUUUUCCUGGGGCUUAUCUGAUCUAUCCAGCAGCCUAUAAAUAGCUGAGAAGCGCCCCCUUUGAGCUCUUUUACCUGUUCUUCACAGAGGACUUAGAUUUUACUCCCAAAUCCCUCAAAUCUUUCCAAUUUGCAUCAAGAUCCACCUCUCCAAGAAUUGCAAGGUGCUGAUUUUGCAGUUCUUCAGCGACGACCUCCAGUGUUUUGGCUCGUGCGUGACGUAGGAAGGUCGGAUUUCAACGAAACUUGGUUUGCUGGAUUCUUGACUUCCAGAGGAAUCCACGAAGCCCUAAUUUGCAGAAUUUGGUGAAGGUUAGCUCAGUCGAACUCAGGUUUUCCUCUGCUGUUGUUGCUUUGGACAGAAUUUGCCAAUUUUUGAUGUUUUCUUGGGGUGAACUUGGGAAGCAGGGGCUUUGUGGAGUUGAGUUAUUUUCCCUAUCACCCAGUACUGGAAUUGGGACCCUCUCCACCUGAUUUGGAGUUCGUUUGGUGAGUUUUGACAUUGGAAUUGAGAUAUUUAAGCUUAAAUGCUGUUUUGCUGAAAUUCAUCGUCGACUGUUAGUAUUUCAGCUCGUACUCGACGUAGGAGCAUCGGAUUUCGUCGAGACUUGAUUCGUUGGUUUCGGGACUGCGAGAAGAAUCCACGAAGUCCUUACUUGUGGAUUUUGGUGAAGGUUAGCUUGGUCGAAACCCUUCUCUUCUCUGCUGCUGUGUACUUGGACUGAAUUGUGGAUUUUGAUGAUUUUUAUUGGAUUUUUGGGUGCAUUGUAAAUCCAGAUCUUAAGGGGCUUUGUUGCUGGUUUGAAGAGGUUUCCAGCAGUGUUGCUUGAGGAUCCGAGACCCUAUUGCUGCCAGGAAUUGCAUUAGAGGUGGGUGUUUCAUCGGUUUCGCUCCUAAGUGCAUGUUAGUCAACGUGUAUAGUUCGAGUGUUGUAAAUCAUGCUUUAAUUCAUCGAUUAGCAUUUUGAAUGUAAUAUGAAUGUAGAAGCAUGCUGAAAUGAAUAUUUAAAUUAUACAUGUUGGACUUGAAAUUUGACUUAGGAGAAAACCUGCGUUUUGACCCGUCAUAUGCUUAAACUACCAGAUUUAGCUCUAGGAGCCGUGUUCGAUUGUAUCGUUGCCGAGUCAGUGCAAUGGAUACCUUGGGUAGUUUAGAAUGUAUUUACACUCGUGCUGGUUCGCCGAGUGAAUUUUUGCAGGGUCGUUCAGGCCGUUUCGGACUGUUGGGUGCCGUCAGAGUUGACGGUGGACCGUAUCGCCUUUUUGGCGUCAGAUUGUGCCGAGGGCACGUUACCUGUUGGUUGUUAGACCAGUUUAAGUCGAUUACUUGACUUUGGCUAGUUGGAGCCUGAUUGAGCUCGACAGAGAUACGCUGCAUACUCGGUUGGGUAGCGCCCACGAGUGCCACUCCGGAGUCAGGCUUGUGCUUUUGCGUUGGUGUCGCUCAUGCCAGUUGGACUUGCUCUCCACGGACCAGUUAGUGUGGAUAGAGCCCGAUAGUCGCAACGGGGCAGGGACGGGUGUGUUCACAGUCCCAGGGACGGGUAUGUCUACAGUCCCGAUUGGAUUGGGUCAGAUUUGACAUUUCCUACAGUUGGUUAGUGUAGAGCAUGAUAGUAUAGUGAUUUGUAGCGGUUGAGUUUGUUUCCUGCUUUUCCUACUAUUCUUGCUCCCUCCUGUAGACUUAGUGGGUGGACCGAUGUUGUUUUGGGCGGUACCCACUGAGGACUACUUGUUUUUAUAGUAGUUCUCACGCCCAGUUGUUACCCCCGUUUUGCAGAGCCACAGGUUUCGGCUGCUGCGCCUUCCGCGGAUCAGGAUCGAGGUAAGGGCGUCGCGAGUUAGAGCCCUACCCGACGUGCUGAGCUAGAGGUGCCCCUACUGCAGGUAGAUGUUUUGUUUCGAGUUUAUGUACAUAGUGGACUUAACUCGCCAGUGCGAGUAGCUUUGUAUUUUGGAUUUGGACUAUGUAUAUGAAACUCAGUUUGUUUAGCUUCUGUUUUCUCUAGCAGCUCUCUACUACUGUUCGUAGUAGUGUUUGAUUUACAGGUACAGCUAUCGCUUCGUAUACAGGGAAAAUUCCUUUGUAUACGGCGGAUUUGUCGGCGUGCCCGGGGAAAGUGUAAUCCGGGGCGUGACAGAUUAAGUUGGUAUCAGAGCUUUGCUGUAGGUCGUGGGGACCUAGGAAACCUAAGUUUGGCAAACCUUAGGGAAGCAAGACGUGAGAGGCGUAAUUUUAUUGCGAAAGUCAAUGAUUAUUUGUUCUAACUCCUCUUAGAGCAGAGUGAGUGACUGAAGGAGUUUCUGUUUCGGCCUGAGAAAUUAUGUUGGCUGCAGACGACAUAAUUUUGGAGGGAAACAGGGACCGCCUUCUAGACUUUCGUUUGAUUGGGUCGAGAGUGUUUUGUUGUAUCUGACCCCGAAUUGUUCCUUUCAGCUAUGUAUCGUCGCCGGGGUCGACCGUCGUUGCGGGAGCGCGCCCAGUUGGCGCGGGAUCAUGCUGGACCUUCUGAGAGAUCUGAGCAGAUGGAGCAGAGUACUCGGCAGGAGCAGGGUGACAGACUGGGGGCGAGUGUACCCCCUGUUGUGGAGCCGAGUGCGCGACCAGAGACUAGCGCACCCCCUGAUCUGAGUGCACAGUUAGCUGCCCUGACCGAGGUGACGAGACAGCAGGGGGAGCUAUUGCAGAGGUUGUGUGAGAGGAUAGCUCAGCCACCGAGUUCUGUACCGAGGGCACCAGAGUCGCCAGUUCCACCCCCGACUACUCCAGUGACAGCACCAGCUGCAGCAGUUCCUCCAUCGGCAGCAGUUCCAGUAGCGCCAGUUGCGCCUGCUAGGGGGCCAGUACCGUUGACUGAGGCCGAGCAGGAGCGGUGGACGGAGAGGUUAGCUCGUUUUCGCCGAUUUGAUCCACCGAUCUUCGAUGGCAGAGGCACUGAGGCCUGGAUUGUUGAGGGAUGGGUCAGUGCGAUGGAGAAGUUAUUCGAGGAUCUGUUCGUUCCAGAGGGGGAGCAGGUACCCCUGGGAGUACACUGUCUAGCAGGUGAUGCUCAUGACUGGUGGCGGAGGACGAGGCGAGACCAGGGGCUAGUGGCGGCGCAGCUGAGUUGGGACGAGUUCUGUGGAAUGCUGUUUGGGAUGUUCUUUCCCAACAGUGUGAAGCAGAAGCUCGAGGAGGAUUUGAGGAGGCUUCAGCAGGGAGAUCGCCCAGUGCAGGAGUACGUUCGGGAGUUUACUCGACUCCUGAACUGUGUACCAUUUGCGGCCAGAGACGAGGCGCACAGAGUAUACAUGUUCGAGCAGGGGCUGAGACCGGACAUCUUCAGGUUAGUGCGGGCGCAGAGGUCGAGGACCCUGGAUGCGUCCAUAGAGCAGGCCCUAUGGGUGGAGAGAGGUGAGGUGUCGCUGCAGGAGAGGACUCAGGCCGUGGGGCAGGGUCAGGACAGGAAGCGCCCCUUUCCAGAUGACGGAGGGCAGUCGAGCAGCAGACGUCCGCCGAGACCUCCACGAUCACGUUCUCAGGGUCGUGGGUCUUCGGGGCGUCAGCGUUCCAGGGGAUCCCGUCAGCAGGGGCAGACUCAGAGGACGCCACAGUGUGUGAUCUGCGGGGGACCACACUGGCCUCGGCAGUGCGAGCAGAGAGAGGGCAGGUGCUACGGAUGUGGUCAGCCGGGACACAUGAGGGCAGCUUGUCCCCGAGCAGCAUCUCCAGCACCGUCAUCAGCUUCGGCACCACCAGCACCACAGCAGUCUUACGGAGCAGCACCGAGCUACCGCCAGGAGGACAGAUCGUCUGUGCCGCGGUCGAGUGAGCGGCGACAGCAGGCUCCGAGUGGCAGGGUCUAUGCAGCUCAGGUGGAGGACUCUUCAGCAGCCGACCGAGUGGUGGCAGGUAUCACUUUGAUUUCUGGCAUUAGAGUUCGCACUCUUUUUGAUACCGGUGCAUCGCAUUCCUUUGUUAGCCGAGCAUUUGCAUUGUUGCAUGGUCUAGAGUUAGGAGCGUUGUCUCAGGCACGAGAGGUGCAGAUCCCCGACCAUGUCUUGCAGGUUACAGAGUGUUGUUGGUCCUGUCCGGUGCAGUUAGACUCUUGGAUCAUGCCCGCAGACCUGUUGGUGUUAGGGCAGCUGCAGGACUUCGACGUAGUGCUCGGUAUGGAUUGGCUGGCGCGGUACUAUGCUACGAUCGACUGUGGAGCGAGGACGGUGACGUUCCGCGAGCCAGGCCAGGAGGAGUUUACUUUCAGAGGCUGCAGGAGCACGCUGUUUGCCACCUGGAUAUCUUCGGCGAGGGCUCGACAGAUGCUGAGCAGUGGGUGUAUCGCUUUCCUAGCGACAGUUGUGGAGGUACCUACGGCGGCGCCGAGACUCGAGGACAUCCCAGUAGUCCGCGAGUUUUCGGAUGUGUUUCCCCCUGAGUUGACGACAUUGCCGCCGGAGAGGGAGAUUGAGUUUGUGAUUGAUGUAGUUCCUGGAACUGCACCAAUCUCAAAGGUACCUUACAGGAUGGCACCGGCAGAGCUGAGAGAGCUAAAGGCGCAACUUCAGGAUCUGAUGGAUAGAGGGUUUGUGAGACCCAGUGUGUCGCCUUGGGGAGCGCCGGUGUUAUUUGUAAAGAAGAAGGAUGGUUCGCUCAGGUUAUGUGUGGAUUACCGGGAGCUGAAUAAAGUGACCAUCAAGAACAAGUAUCCUCUGCCGCGCAUUGAUGAUCUAUUCGAUCAGCUGCAAGGAUCUUGUGUCUUUUCGAAGAUUGAUCUCCAGUCAGGUUACCACCAGCUGAGGGUGAGGGCCGAGGAUGUUCCCAAGACGGCUUUUCGGACUCGGUACGGGCAUUAUGAGUUCACGGUGAUGCCUUUUGGAUUGACGAAUGCCCCUGCCGCAUUCAUGGAUUUGAUGAACAGAGUGUUCAAGCCGUUCUUGGAUAGGUUUGUGGUAGUCUUCAUCGACGAUAUCCUGAUUUACUCCCGGAGUGAUGCUGAGCAUGAGGAGCACUUGAGGAUUGUGCUACAGCUUCUGCGCGAGAAGAAGUUGUAUGCCAAGUUAAAGAAGUGCGAGUUCUGGCUACGGGAGGUUGCUUUCUUGGGCCACGUGAUUUCAGCUGAGGGCGUAGCAGUGGACCCGAAGAAGAUUGAGGCGAUUCGAGAUUGGCCUAGACCGACGACGGUUACUGAGGUACGGAGCUUCCUGGGACUGGCAGGAUAUUACCGUCGGUUUGUGGAAGGCUUUGCGAAGCUUUCCACACCCCUCACACGCUUGACGCGGAAGGGGAUUCGUUUUGUCUGGAGCGACGACUGUCAGAGGAGCUUUGACGAGUUGAGAUUGAGGUUGAUGUCGGCUCCUAUCCUUGCCCUUCCUGUUAUGGGCGAAGGAUUUGUGAUCUACAGUGAUGCAUCGCACAGUGGACUUGGUUGCGUGCUGAUGCAGCAUGGUAGGGUGAUUGCUUAUGCUUCACGGCAGUUAAAGGAUUAUGAGAAGAAUUACCCUACGCAUGACUUGGAGCUUGCCGCGGUGGUUUUUGCUUUGAAGCUCUGGCGGCAUUACUUGUACGGCGAGCACUGCGAGGUUUUCACCGAUCAUCAAAGUCUCAAGUAUCUGUUCACACAGAGGGAGCUGAAUCUGAGGCAGCGCCGGUGGUUGGAGUUACUGAAGGACUAUGACAUUAGUAUUCAGUAUCAUCCCGGCAGGGCGAAUGUGGUGGCAGAUGCGUUGAGCAGGAAGUCAGUGCAGAGCCUGAGUUUGAGGAUUACUGAGCAGAGACCCCUACUCGAGGAGCUACAGCGGCUGGGACUCGAGAUAGUACCCCCUGGGUCUACGGCGAGGCUGACGUCUCUAGUUUUACAGCCCACUCUGUUGGAUAGGAUCCGAGAGAAACAGAGUGGAGAUCCGUACUUGUUGAGGAUUAGAGAGCAGCUAGACAGGGGGCAGGCUGAGGGUUUUGCUUUGGACAGUUCGGGAGUACUACGGUACAGGGACCGACUGUGUGUGCCUGUGGAUCCGGAGAUUCGAGCGGAUAUUCUGAGAGAGGCUCAUUGUUCCCCUUAUACGGUUCAUCCUGGGGGAACCAAGAUGUAUAAGGAUCUUAAGGCACGAUUCUGGUGGCCUGGAAUGAAGCGGGACAUUGGCAGAUAUGUGGCUCAGUGUUUGACUUGCCAACAGGUGAAGGCCGAGCAUCAGGUGCCUGCUGGCAAGCUUCAGAGUCUGCCAGUUCCCGAGUGGAAGUGGGAGCACAUCACGAUGGACUUCGUCGUUGGAUUGCCUAGAGCGCAGGGUGGCUACGACGCGAUUUGGGUGAUAGUGGACAGACUGACCAAGUCUGCUCACUUCCUACCGGUUCAGACUACCUGGUCCAGGGAGAGACUUGCGCAGCUAUACUUGGAUGAGAUUGUUAGGCUGCACGGCGUGCCAGUGUCGAUUGUAUCAGACAGAGACCCGAGGUUUGUAUCCCAGUUUUGGAGGAGUUUGCAGACAGCCUUGGGUACACAGCUGCAUUUUAGCACGGCGUUCCACCCACAGACAGAUGGUCAGUCAGAGCGGACCAUACAGACUCUAGAGGACAUGCUGAGGGCAUGCGUCCUGGAUUUUGGAGGAGGGUGGUAUCGACAUGUGAGACUGGUUGAGUUUGCGUACAACAACAGCUAUCAAACGAGCAUUCAGAUGGCUCCGUUUGAGGCGUUGUAUGGACGCAGAUGUCGAUCCCCCCUGUUUUGGAGUGAUGUGGGUGAGCGGAGGACACUUGGACCGGAGAUUCUACUUGAGGCUGAGGAAAAGGUGAGAGUCGUUCGACGACACCUUUUGACAGCACAGAGCCGACAGAGGAGCUACGCCGAUACCAGGAGACGAGACUUGGAGUUUCAGGUUGGAGAUCAUGUUUUCCUCAAAGUCUCGCCGUCCCGAGGGAUACGCAGAUUUGGAGUACGUGGAAAGCUUAGUCCACGGUUUGUUGGCCCUUUCGAGGUAUUGGAGCGUAUCGGACCGGUGGCUUACAGGAUAGCUCUACCCCCGCGACUUGCUGGCAUCCAUGAUGUUUUCCACGUCUCAGCAUUGAGGAGAUACGUUUUCGAUCCCUCUCACGUGAUUGACUUCACUCCACUUGAGAUUGGCGAGGAUCUGAGAUACGAGGAGCGACCGUUGCGGAUUCUUGCUCGGGAGACGAAAGAAUUGCGCAACCGGGUCAUCCCGUAUGUGAAAGUGCAGUGGAGUAAUCAUGAUGAGCGGGAGGCGACUUGGGAGUCUGAGACGGUGAUGAGGGAAGCCUAUCCCUACUUGUUUGAUGCUUGAGUAGAGGUACGUUCAGUUUCGCGGACGAAACUUUUUGUAGUGGGGGAGGAUGUAGUAUACUAGUAUCCCUACACUUAGUAUAUAUAUAUAAGUGUGUGUGUGAGGGUACGUGUGUGUGUGUGUGUGAGUGCACAUGUGUGAGUAUGUGUAAUGCCAUGUGGCAUCACCUCCCCCCCCUCUUUUAUGCAUGCAGGGAAGAGAGAGAGAGGAGUUUAUCUCCUCUCUUCUCUCCUUUUCUCUUUCGUUCGGCCGUACCAAGGAAGCACGCGAGGGACGCCGCCGCGGAGCCGAUUUCGCCGUCGACGUCGCACCGCAGAGCCGUUCGAACCUACGGUUGCUGCCGUUGCAUCGUGAGGAGGCCGGGCGAGCGUGGAUCUUCGCCGUUCUUGACGUCGCGCCAGUGCUAGUCGCCGUCGAGGUGGGUGUUCCAUAGAAUUGCUUCCUAAUUUCCAAGCUUUUUCAAUUUCGAGCUAGUUGCUGUCCCUGCAGAUUUCCAGCGUCGACCGUUGGCGUUUCGGCUCGUACUCGACGUAGGAGCGUCGGAUUUCGACGAGGCUUGAUUCGCUGGAUUCAGGACUUCGAGAGGAAUCCACGAAGCCCUUACUUGCCAGAUUUCGUUGAGGUUAGAUUGGUCGAAUCCGUGCUGUACCUGACUGUUGCGAAUUUUGGGACUGAAACGGUGAUUUGUGCUUUGUAGAGCGUGGUGUUAGCUCGACUCCCGGAUUUGGAGGGUGUAGAUCGACCAGCAGGUGGUGCUGCAGCUGUGAGGGUGUUUUGCUGCCAGAAUUAGCGACUAAGGUGGGUUUACAUCGGUUUAUUCCUAAGUGUAGUAAUAGUCGACAUGUAUGAUUUUCUGUUCGGUAAAUCAUGUUGUAGUUCGUUUUUCAUAAUGAUAUCCUGGAUAAAUGCUGCAUAUAUAACAUGAUUAUUACCUUUUAAAUAUACAUGUUGGACUGGGUUUAAACUUAGGAGAAAACGCGAUUGGAAUCGACAUAUGUAUUAAACUGCCUGAUUUAGCUCUAGGAGCCGUUAUAGAAUUGUACUGUCGCAGCAUACUGUAGACGAGUACUCCAGGUAGUUUAGAAUACAUUUACGCUCGUGCUGGUAUGCCGAGUGAAUUUUUCUGAGGUCGUUUAGACUGUUUCGUACUAGUGGGCGCCGUCGGGACUGACGGUGGGCCCGGUUCGCCGUUUUGGCGUCGGAUUGUGCCGAGGGCACGUUGUUUGUUGUAUUUAGACUAGUCAGAGUUGUUACUGGACUUCGGCUUGAGUUAGAGAGCCUGUUUGAGCUCGACAGAGAUACGCUGCAUACUCGGUUGGGUAGCUCCCACGAGUGCCACUCCGGAGGCGGGCGCGGUGCUUUUGCGUUGGUGUCGCUCAUGCCAGUUGGACUUGCUCUCCACGGACCAGCUAGUGUGGAUAGAGCCUGAUAGUCGCAACGGGGCAGGGACGGGUGUGUUCACAGUCCCAGGGACGGGUAUGUUUACAGUCCCAAUUGGAUUGGGUCAGAUUUGACAUUUCCUACAGUCGGUUAAUGUAGAGCAUGAUAGUGUAGUGGAUGAUAGCGAUAGAGUGUACUUCCUGCUUUUCCUUCUAUCCUUGCUCCCUUCUGUAGACUUAGUGGGUGACCGAUGUCGUUUUGGGCGGUACCCACUGAGGACUACUUGUUUUUACAGUAGUUCUCACGCCCAGUUGUUACCUAUGUUUUUGCAGAGCCACAGGUUUCGGCUGCUGCACCGUCUGCGGACCUGGAUCGAGGCAAGGGCGUCGCGAGUUAGAGCCCUACCCGACGUGCUGAGCUAGAGGUGCCCUACUGCAGGUAGAUGUUUUGUUUCGAGUUUAUGUACAUAGUUGACUUAACUCGCCAGUGCGAGUAACUCUGUAUUUUGGAUCGGAACUAUGUAUAUGAAACUCUGUUUUAUUUAGCUUCAGUUUUCUCUAGCAGCUCUCUACUACUGUUCGUAGUAGUGUUUGAUUUACAGGUACAGCUAUCGCUUCGUAUACAGGGAAAAUUUCUUUGUAUAUGGCGGAUCUGUCGGCGUGCCCGGGGAACGUGUAAUCCGGGGCGUGACAGAUUAACUAUUAAAAAAUAAGGUUAGUCCAUGCGCUAAAAUUUUACAGUUGGUGUAGGCAAAAAUAAAAAAGAGUUCAAAUUAUAGAUUGUAUAUGAAUAUGUCUUAUACAUUCGAUGUACAAUUUUUUUUUUUUUUUUACACCGUAUGAAAUUUUAAUUUUAUUAUAUCGACUAUUAAAAGAUAGAGUAUUUUUGCCAGAAAUAUGAGAGUCCUUCUUUGUUAUCCUAUGCGAACUACUGAAUAUACACAACUUUCAUGCAUAUAUAACCUACUUUUAUUAUGACAAAGUAUUCGACCAGAUUCUGUUUCCUAGUUAUUUUAUUAAUUGCGUAUGUUUAAAUCAAGGGAAAACUUCAAAUACCCCAUUGUGGUUUCACUUUUUCUCACUUUAGUACCCUGUAGUUUAAAGUGUAUCAAGUAAGUACCCUGUGGUUUUGCACUUUUUCACUCUAGUACCCUAUGGUUUAAUGUGUAUCAAGUUAGUACCCUGUGGUUUCGCACUUUCUCACUUUAGUACCAUGUGGUUUCGCACUUUCUCACUUUAGCACUCUUUGGUUUAAAAACCACAGAGUACUAACUUGAUACAAAAAUAAAACUAUAGGGUACUAACUUGAUACAAAAAUAAAACCACAGAGUACUAACUUGAUACACUUUAAACCAUAGGGUAUUAAAGUGAGAAAGUGCGAAAUCACAGGGUACUAAUUUGAUACAUUUUAAAUCACAGGGUACUAAAAUGAAAAAGUACGAAAUCACAUGGGAAGUUUUUGAAGUUUUCCCUUAAAUCAAAUAUAUACAUUUGUAUACGUAGAAAAAAAUUUUAACCCAAAAUAUAUAGGUUCUCUUUGCUACUGUAAGAGACAUGUAUAUGAGCAUAUUUUGUACUUUCGGUGUACAAUUUUUUUUACACCGUUUGAAAUUUUGAUUUUGUUACAUCGACUAUUAAAAAAUAGGAUUGUAGGGAUGUAGGGGUGUAGGGUGUAGGGUGUAGGGUGUAUGGAUAUAGAUAGAUAGAAAGCUAAACUUUAUCUUAUACAAUCAUGAGUAUGUCUUAUACACUCGGUGUAUAACUUUUUUAACACCAUAUUAAUAAAAUUUUUAUUAUAAAGGUAAAAAUCUAUUAAUUUUUGUAUAUAUUUUUUUUUAUUAAUUAUAGAUUGUAUUUAUUAGAUAAAAUUUUAAUUUUGUUAUAUUGAUUAUUAAAAGGGAUAAUUGCCUAUAUACCCUUCAUACGUUUGAAAAUAUCCAAUUUACCCCUACUUUUUUUUCUUUCUAAAAUACCCCUCAUAUGUUCCACCAUUAUUGCAAAAUACCCCGGAGUUAUCUACUGUUAAGUUAUCUUGGGUUAAACGUGAGUUAAAUAUCUACCAUAGUUAAAAAAAAUUAAAAUGCCAAUUUUGCUAUUAACUUAAAGGCAAAUAAGAAAUGUUGAUGACGUUAGAGGGGUAUAUUGGAAAAGACCAAAAGUCAAAAUACUUUUUGUACCCCUACCUUUAAGGGCAAAUAAAAAAGUCAGUGAUGGUGGAAGGGUAUAUUUGAAAGGGCAAAAUAGUAAUUUUACAGAGUUAACAGAGUUAAUUAACAGAUUUUAACUCUAGGGGUAUAUUAAAAAUAGGUUGGAACAUAAAGAGGGUAUUUUAAAUAUUAGCCUUCUAAGAGAGAUAAAUCGGAAAGUCGGAAAUUUUUCAAAGUAUAUAAGAAAUUGCCCCUUAUUAAAAAAUAGGGUUGGUCUCCGCGAUAAAAUUUUACACUCGGUGUAGGAAAAAAAAAAAGGUGUUGAGAGAAUAAAAAAAAGGGAAAACUUCAAAUACCACCCCUGUGGUUUCACACUUUCGUACUUUAGUACCCUGUGGUUUAAAGUGUAUCAAUUUAGUGUCCGGUGGUUUCAUUUUUAUCUUUUUAUUAUCGAGUUUACUAUUUUUUUUUUAAAUCAGUAACAAAAUUAAAACUAAAGAGUACUAAAGUGAAUAUUUGAUAAACCAAGAUAAGGUAUCUAACGUUUUUUAUAUAUAAUUUAACGAAAUAUUAACGAAAAAGCUGACGAAAAGGUAAAAAUGAAACCACAUGACACUAACUUGAUACAAUUUAAACCACAGGGUACUAAAAUUAGAAAGUACAAAACCACGGGGGUGGUGUUUGAAGUUUAUCCUAAAAAAAAGAGUGUAGGGUGUGUGUGAAGGAGUGAGAGAAAAAAAAAAAAAAAAGUGGAAUGAGCCCUACCACUUUGCUUUAGGUUGCUGCCGUACACUAUCGACUAUUAAAAAAUAAGAUUGGUUCAUACGAUAAAAUUUAAAAUUUGGUGUAGAAAAAAAAAAAAAAAAGAAAAGGUGUUGAGAGAAAAAAAAAAUAAAAAAAGGUAUAGGGUGGGUGAGGGAGAUAGUAUGAGAGGGAGAAAAAAAAGUCAUGGGCCCACCUCUUUCCUUUUGAAGCCUAUUAAAAAAAGGGUUGGUCCAUGCACUAAAAUUUUACACUUGGUAUAAGCAAAAAUAAAAUAAAAUUCAAAUUAUAGAUUAUAAAUAAAUAUGUCUUAUACACUCGGUGUACAACUCUUUUUACACUGUAUGAAAUUUUAAUUUUGUUACAUCGAUUACUAAAAAAUAGGGUUGGUCCAUGUGAUAAAAUUUUACACAGGGUGUAUGCAAAAAAAAAAAAUGUUGAGAGAAAAAAAAUAAAAAAAGAAAUGGUGUAGGGUGUGUGUGAGAAAGAGAGAGAGUAGGAGAGAGAAAAAAAAUAGUAGGCCCCAGAGGAGUGAUAAAAUUUUAAUUUUGUUAUAUUGAUUAUUAAAAGAUAGGGUCGGUCCAUGGAAUAAAAUUUUACGCUCGGUAUGGGCCAAAAAAAAAAAAGAAAAGGUGUUGAGAGAAAAAAAAAAUAAAAAAAGGGUGUAGGCUAUAGGGUGUGUGAGAGAGUGAGAGAGAGAGAAAAAAAAUAGAGUGGGCCCCACCUCUUUGCUUUGAGGUGGCUGCCGUACAUUGUCGACUAUUAAAAAAUAGAAUUGGUCCAUAAAAUAAAAUUUUAAACUUGGUGCAGAAAAAACAAAAAAAAAAGUGUUGAGAGAAAAAAAUAAAAAAAAAGGGUGCAGGGUGUGAGAGAGAGAGAGAGAGAGUAUGAGAAAGUGAAAAAAAAAGUAGGCCUCACCUCUUUCCUUGAGGGGACUAUUAAAAAAUAGGGUUGGUUCAUGCGUUAAAAUUUUACACUUGGUGUAGGUAAAAACAAAAAAAAUUCAAAUUAUGGAUUGUAUAUGAGUAUAUCUUAUACACUCGGUGUACAACUUUUUUUUUAUACCGUAUGAAAUUUUAAUUUUGUUAUAUCGACUAUUAAAAAAUAGGAUUAAUCCAUGCGAUAAAAUUUUGCACAUGGUGUAGGCAAAAACAAAAAAAAAUGUUUGAGAGAAAGAAAAAAAAAGUGUAGGGUGUGUGUGUGAAAGAGAGUGAGUGAGAGAGAGAAAAAAAAAAGGGGCCCCAUUGGAGUGAUAAAAUUUUAAUUUUGUUAUAUUCAUUAUUAGAAAAUAAGGUUGGUCCAUGCGAUUGAAUUUUACACUCGGUGUAGAAAAAAAAACAAAACGGUGUUGAGAGAAAAAAAAAAAAAAAAAAAAAAAAGGUGUAGGGUGUGCGUGAGAGAGUGAGAGAGAGAAAAAAAAAAAGUGGAGUGGGCUCCACCUCUUUGUUUGAGGUGGUUGCCGUACACUAUCGACUAUUAAAAAAUAGAAUUAGUUCAUACGAUAAAAUUUUAAAAUUGGUGUAAAAAACAAAAAAGAAAAGGUGUUGAGAGUAAAAAAUUUAAAAAAAGUGUGUAGGAUGUGUGAGAGAGAGUAUGAGAGAGGAAAAAAGUGGGCCUCAUCUCUUUCCUUGAGAAGACUAUUAAAAAAUAGGAUUAGUUCAUGCGUUAAAAUUUUACACUUUGUGUAGCCAAAAAUAAAAAACUUUAAAUUAUAGAUUAUAUAUGAGUAUGUCUUAUACACUCGGUGUACAACUCUUUUUACACCGUAUGAAAUUUUAAUUUUGUUAUAUCGACUGCUAAAAAAAAGGUUAGUUCAUACGAUAAAAUUUACACAUAGUGUAUGCAAAAACAAAAAAAAAUAUUGAGAGUAAAAAAAAAAAAAAAAAGAAAGGGUGUAUCGUGUGCGUGAGAGAGAGAGAGAGAGAGUGAGAGAGAGAGAGAGAAAAAAAAAGUGGAUCCCACGGGAGUAAUAAAAUUUUAAUUUUGUUAUAUUGAUUAUUAAAAAUAAGGUUUAUCCAUGCGAUUAAAUUUUGCACUCGAUAAAAAAACAGUGUUGAGAGAAAAAGAAAAAAAAAAUGGUGUAGGGUGUGUGAGAGAAUGAGAGAGAGAGAAAAAAGUGGAGUGGGCCCCACCUCUUUGCUUGAGGUGGUUGCCGUACACUAUCGUCUAUUAAAAAAAAAAUUGGUCCAUAUGAUAAAAUUUUAAGCUUGCUGUAGAAAAAAAAAUAAAAAAAAAUGUGUUGAGAGAAAAAAAUAAAUAAAUAAGGGGUGUAGGGUCAGAGAGAGAGAAAGUGUGAGAGAGAGAAAAAAAAAGUCGGAUCCACCUCUUUUUUGGGAAAGACUAUUAAAAAAUAGGAUUAGUUCAUGCACUAAAUUUCACAUUUGUUGUAGGCAAAAAUAAAAACGAAUUCAAAUUAUAAAUUAUAUAUGAAUAUGUCUUAUAUACUGGUAUGAAAUUUUAAUUUUGUUAUAUCGACUAUUAAAAAAUAAAAUUAAUUUAUACGAUAAAAUUUUACAUAUAGUGUAGAAAAAAAAAUGUUGAGAAAAAAAAAAGUGUAGGAUGUGUGUGAGUGAGAGGAGGAAUUCUACACUGUCACACUUGCACCACGUCAUCAAUAACAAGCUAAUCACAUUCUUUCUUUUCAAACAAAAGUAUAAUAAAAAUAUUUUUUUAUAAUCAUAAUGGGAUAUAUAUCUCUAAAAGAAGAUAUUUGAUUGAUUUGUUACGCCUAAUCAUCAGUAUACUCGUUGUAUUUUAUAAUUUUUCAAGUGAGAGAGUGAAAGAGAAAAAAAAAAAAAUGAGCCCCACCGGAGUGAGGAGAACCUUGCCGUACGUGAUUCAGGUUCUCCACGUAUGGUAUAAAAUAAAAUAAGAUAAGAUAAGAUAACAAUAUACCGUACGUGAUUUAGGUUCUCCAUGUAUGGUAUAAAAUAAAAUAAGAUAAGAUAACAAUAUAUAUAAUAUUCAUACAUUAUGGACCCUAUGCUCUUUAGUACUGUUUCUUAUUUGAAAUGAAGAUGUACCAAAACGCCUCCUCAUUCUUUUCCCUCUCCUUCAUCGUCAUAUUUUUGUCCAUUUUUUCUCCAGUGUUGUGUAUUCGUAAUAUUGGCUCUAAUGAACCCGAAACAUUGCAAACUUACAUUGUUCGUGUGCAACCUCCUAUAGAGAUAGCCGAUGCUGGCUCCAACGAGCUUGAGAGUUGGUACAAGUCAUUCUUAUCCGAGUCUGUUUCCGACACCGGCGAGCCGCGGUUGCUUCACUCCUACAGCGAAGUCUUCAGCGGCUUUGCCGCGAAGCUCACACAAUUCGAACUUAAUUCAAUGCAAAAGAAAGAAGGGUUCGUGCGCGCUUUUCCGGAGCAGAAGCUCUACCUUCAGACGACCCACACGCCGGAGUUUCUGGGCCUCCGACCUGCGAGUAACGGACUUUGGGACGCCUCGGCGUUCGGCCGUGGCGUUAUCAUCGGCCUACUCGACACCGGCAUCGCUGCCGGCCACCCUUCCUUCUCCGACGCCGGCGUGCCGCCGCCGCCGGCCAGGUGGAAGGGCUCGUGCGCCCUCGAGGCCGGCUGCAACAACAAGCUCAUCGGCGCGCGCGCGUUCGUGCCGGGCCACGAUUCACCUCUCGACGACAGCGGGCACGGGACCCACACGGCGAGCACGGCCGCCGGCAACUUCGCGCCCGGCGCGCAGGCGUACGGGCAGGCCGGAGGCACGGCGGCCGGGAUGGCGCCGCGCGCGCACCUGGCCAUAUACAAGGUGUGCGGCACCUCGGGUUGCGCGUCCUCGGACGUGCUCGCCGGCCUGGACGCCGCCGUGAAGGACGGGGUCGACGUAAUCUCCAUCUCUUUGGGCGGUGGAUCCAUUCCUUUCGACGAGGAUGUGAUCGCCAUCGGCGCGUUCACCGCUUUUGAGAAGGGCAUAGUCGUCAGCUGCGCAGCAGGUAAUAAUACCAAUAACUGCUGCUAUUUUUUUUUUUUUUUAUACUCUCUUAUGGUAGUCUUACAUUUUAUUCAUCCAACAGGUAACGGCGGUCCCUUCAAUACCACGCUCUCUAACGAGGCGCCGUGGUACAUAACAGUGGGUGCGACCUCGGUCGACCGGAGCUUUAGAUCGUACGUACAGCUUAACAACGGGAAGGUCUACGAAGGCGAAUCUCUAAAUCAGUCAACCAAAAUUCCCUCGAACCCGGUCGAACUUGCGUACAAUUCCAACCGCAGCGGUUGCACCUACUUCAAAAAAUUCGACAUCAAGGGCAAAAUAGUUGUAUGCGAGCCCUUCUUUCCACUGGAAAAGAUCGCCAGAGCCGUUCUGAAAGCAGGAGGUGUCGGUGUCGUCGUCGUCAAUUUGGAGGCAGAGGGCUACUCUAUCAUCGCGAGAGACUUCCCCCUGCCGGCGUCGAGGUUGUCUGCUGCCGACGGGGACUCUGUCAUAGCCUACGCGUCUGACGCAAGAAACAACCCGAAAGCGUCGAUCACCUUCAACGGCACCGUCCUCGGAACUUCUCCGGCUCCCGUCGUCGCCUUCUUCUCUUCUCGGGGGCCGAACUUCCAGACCCCGUUGAUUCUAAAGCCCGACGUGUCGGCUCCGGGGCUAAACAUACUAGCCGCGUGGCCGACCCAAGUAGACGGAGGAAACGACGGUGCGAAUACUUUCAAUAUAAUCUCCGGCACUUCGAUGGCGACGCCGCACAUCAGCGGCAUCGCCGCGCUGAUAAAGAGCGUGCAUCCUGACUGGUCGGCAGCAGCCGUCAAGUCGGCAAUCAUCACCACAGCCGAUGAGAACGGUCGCGACGGCAAGCCCAUCUUAGACGAGCUUCACCAGAAGGCGAGCUUCUUCGCGGUGGGAGCCGGGCACGUCAACCCCUCGAAAGCGGCCGACCCCGGUCUGAUCUACGACAUCGGUGCCGAAGACUACGUUGGUUUCAUAUGCAGCGUUUACGGCGACGCGGGCGCUCGCGUUAUCGUCCGCAGCCACAACGUGUCGUGUUCGAAGGUGACGCAAAAGUCGGCGACGGAGCUCAACCUACCGUCGAUAGCGGCCUCUCCGGCUUGGUUGGAAACGGUGACGAUUACCCGCGCGGUGACGAACGUCGGUGAGCCGCAGUCGAGUUACACCGCUCAUGUAGAUAUUCCGGAGACGGUGACGAUCGAAGUCGCGCCGCCGACUUUGAGUUUCGCGGCGGUCAGCGAGAGGAAGACGUUCCAGGUGAGGGUGAGAUGGAGCCUCUUUCCGGCGAAUGGCGUAGUUGAAGGGAAUUUGAGGUGGGUUUCUAAUGAGCACGUUGUGAGGAGCCCCGUAGUCGUAGGAAAUUUUAAAGCUAGAAACUAGCUAGGUGAUGAAAAAUCAUUCCUGUUGUUGUAUUUCUGGUAAUUUCCCGAGUAAAUAAGGAUGUGCUUGCAAGAAGUGAAUUUGUUACCAUUCAAAAAUGCGAAAUUUGGUAAAUAUUUUUUCUCUAGGUGAUUUUUGGGUGCGGGUUAGGAAUGCAAACGUGACAGAUUUGGGGGCGGAAGGGUUUCUCCACCUCCCGUUUUAUUUCUUAUCGUGAUGGAAUGGAAUCUGAACGGAUUAUUUUUUUAUUUUAUUUUUUACUCUUACUUACUGUAACCAUUUGGGGUGGAUCAAAACGAGAGCGAAUUUUUGAUGAAUUUUUAACGGAACGGACUGAAGAAAAAAAAAGUCUUUCGCCUUUCGUUCAAUUUACUUGGCGGAUAAAUUCGAAACGGAUUAUAUGUUUCUAUAUUUUUGUUCCCACUUAUCGUCUCAUUCGGAGCAGAGCGGGGCAGGAGCCCCACCAGCUCAGAUUCAUUUGCAUCCCUAAUGCUGUUUCGCUGCGUGCUUGUUUUUAAAUUUUUUGGAUAAAAUUUUAUAUAUUAGAAAGAUUAAUAAAAGGAUAUUGUAUUGCUUGUAAUUCAUUCCUCUUAGUAUAUACUUAGCAACGAAAAAUAAAAACUUAAAAAAUAGCUUUUUUAAUUUCAAAAUUUUUUAAAUAAAUUAUUAUUUUCCACUUUGUUGGAUGCAUUGCAAAGUAACAAAUUAUAAUAAUCAUAACAAAAUUUUCAAUUCAUUAAAUUGUAUAAAAUUAUCAUUUAAAAAUUCAAUACAUGCCCUUUUUAGAGACUACAAUUUCAUUUAUAGGAUAGCCGUCUAAAAGUUAAAUAUAAUGAAUAUAUAUAUACUUUUUCACUCUAAAAAAUAAUCAUAAAUAUUUGGGCAAAUUAUAUGAAUCAGAUGACAUUUUAAAUUUCAAAUUUUAAUUUAUUGUAAUUAUUAACUCAAACUUUUAAAAGCGUUGCAAUCAAGUCUUAUAAUCUAAUUUAAGUUGAAUAAAUAUUGAUAAAUUAUUAAUAUAAAAGUGAUGUGAUAGUAUGUAUUGUGAUUAAUAAUAUAAUAAAAAUUAAAAUACUUCAUAACUUUUAUAUCCGUAAUACGUUAAUAUUCAAUUAACUAAAUUGAGCAGGGGACUUGAUUCUAACAAUUUUAAAAAUUUGAGUCAGUAAUUAUUACAAAUUAGUUUGAGGACUAUAGUGUCACGUAGAUCAUAGGACUAAACGCGCAAUUUAUCCUAAAAAUUUCUUUUAAUAUUACCAAAUACCGUUAGUAUUCAUGUACGGUAUAUUAAAUAUGUUUUUUUUUUUUGUAAAAUGUGUUAAUAUUUGGAUAGUUUGAAGGAGUAAUGAUACACUAGUGUAAAGACCCGCGCGAUGCGGCGGGGAGAUAAUAGAAAUAAAAUUUUAAAUUAUUUUUUGAGGUAAAAAAAAUAGUGAAAAUUAAAAUUUUAAAAUGUACAUGAUAACGUAAUAAAAUAAAAUAGCAAGUAAGUAUAUUUUACCGUCCAGAAAAGGCACACUCCUCAUAAAUGUACAUAGAAGCAAUAAUCAACCUUUUCUAUUCUAUAAAGCCUACUUUGAAUAAAAUUAUACAACUCCAUGGAGAAAAAAAAGGGAGAAAAAAGAAAACUCUUAAGUUUCCUAUUAGCUCAUUAUAUCAUUUCAUCUAAUGGGAGAUGUUGAUGGUGCCGGCGAUGCCUACGACGUACAAUAUUACAUUUAAAGUUGUUGCAAUCUUGAACAUUGUUCUCCAUUGAGCUCAUCAUUUUCCUAAAUUUUGUAUCUGCAUUUUUCUCUCCUAUUAUAUUACAAAAAUAAAACAAAAUGGAGAAAAAAAAUGACACUUUAGCCAAUUCAAAAAAAAAAAACUUAAUAAUUUUUAUUUUAAAAUAAUUUUACCUUGAGAAUCCAAAUAUGAUUUUGCGAAUGAUAACUAAUAGAUGAGAGUUGGGGUGAUAAUGGUGAGCAAAGCCCAAAAAGAAGAAGAUCAGAACAUAAGCUCUUGAGGCUUUUUUUUUUCUAUUUUUAAAUUUUAUUUAUAAAAAAAUUAAAAAGAAUAGAAAUCUUUAAAGAGCUCAUAUUUUACAAUGGAAGCAAAUUGGAGAAAGAGAACGUUCUUAGUUCACGACACCCGCCGCACAUCUUCGGGUGCGUCAUCUAUGUGGCGGCCGGCCGCGGUAGCUGACGAAGGCGAUGACGGAGCUGUAGUCGAAGUUGAAGAAAUCCGCUUUGCCGACAUGGAGGUCUAGGCGGAGGUGGAGGUCGAGGCAAAGGUGGAGGUCGAUGGUGGUGAGGGGCGGCGGAGCGACGUUUGACCCGGUCGAGAAGGAAGCGGGCGACGCCGACGUCGAGAUCGGAGGAAGAGGGCGGCAGCAGUGGAGCGGAAGAGGUAAAGGAAGUGGGCGACACCGAUGUCGAGAUCGGAGAAAGAGAGCAGCGGGAAGUCAAGGGAACGCGGGAUGGGAGAAGAGAGAGGGUGAGAGCAAACUUAUAGGAUUAAAAUAUUUAGGAGUUACUAUAUAUAUAACUUGAAGUAAUUUUAAAAUGAAUGAGAUUUAAAAAAUAUAAAUAAUAGAAUUAAUGUUACAGUUACUAAAUAAGAUAUAGUUUUAGAAAGAAAGGUGGUGGGUCAUUAAAUAGUAACAAAUAAUAAAUUAAUUUGUAAAAUAUAAUGAGAAAAAAUAUGAAAAGGCUAUUCUUAGUCAGAAAUGACAACAACUAUAUAUGGAGCCUAUUUUGAAAAUGAGAGAUGGAUCAUAUUUGGUAUAAUUUGACAAUUAAUUAUCAUAGUUUAUAAUAAUUGAUCAAGCAAUUAUGAGGAACCGUUUUCUAAUUUAGAAAAUUAAUUGCUAAUAGAAACAGCUAGUAUGAAUUUGACAAUUAAUUAUCAUAGUUUAUAAUAAUUGAUCAAGCAAUUAUGAGGAACCGUUUUCUAAUUUAGAAAAUUAAUUGCUAAUAGAAACAGUUAGUAUGAAACGUAUAUGGUUAUGUAGAAUUUGAAAUAUAGCAAUAACCUGUCAAAAAAAAAUCAGAAAAAAUUCUAAAAAAGGAGGUCAUGCCACCUCAGCUUUUGUUAUUGGGGAUUAAUAGAAAAUAAUAUAGAAAAUAAUAGAUUCUACAGAGACCUAGCCACAAUUUUGGGACACUAUGAAUUACUAAUUAUUUUGCAUUGCUAUUGGGUUUUCCAACUGUAUGAUAUCUAAAUGGAGGUUGAGAUCAAGUAUGUAUCUAAACAGGGUAAUAAAUAUAUUCAAAAUAAGAAUAAAGAAAUUUAGCAUUGAUUUAAUCGAAAAUUAUAAAUUAAAGUUAGGUGCACUAAUCAAAAUAAAUUAUAGUUUGAAUAUUUUAAUAAAAUUUUAUCAAACAGUUGCGGACAAUAGUGCAAUUUGCCUUAAAAAUCACGUCAAAUGUUGUUUUUACCUUCCUGGUCAAUGUCCCAACAAUCCUUUAGAUUGCUAGACAUUUGACGACUAAAAAUAUAUAACUUAUGUAAAGUGCAUGAAAUGAAUUUACAAUAAAAGCCCUGCAUUAGAUUAUCUACCCCUAUAAUUAAUAUAACAAUUAUAACCCUCUAGAUAUAUAACUUUAUUACAUUUGAAUCCAUUAGAGAUUAACGUUUUGUAAAUAUAUUCUUAAUAUUUUAUGCACUAUAUGCAUAGAAAUAUUUGAAUAUAGAUGCAUUUUCCAAAAACGAAAAAAAGUAUUAGUUGAGAAAAUUUAAUAGACUAAAACUUUUUGCUCGGUUUACAUAUAGUGUGUGAUAUCAAAGUCAACCUAGUAUAUUUUAUUAAUAUCGUUCAUAAUUUAUAUUAUAGUGAAAAAAAGAUUACUCUUUUUUUUUGAAAAAAAAGAAAAUUUUUCUUUUUUUUCUUUCUUUUUUUUUUUUUGGAUACUCAGUCUUUGGCUUGAUAACUAAAUUUUGGAGAACAAUUUUUGCUGUUCCAAUAUAAACUAGAACAAGUUGUAAUUACGUUUGGAUGUUGUUUGUUUGUUUUUAGAAAAUAUUCUUAAUAGUGUAUGAAUAUUUAUGUUGAAAUAAGGGGUUGAAAAGAUAAAAAUUAAACAUAAUGACAAAUUUGCCCUUGAAUAUAAUAAUUAAAUAUGAUUUAAUAAAUUAAGUAUUAAAAUAAAUUAAUUUACAAAUUAAGUAUAUUUGUACAUUAUUUUGAAAAUAAUGUUUUAGUAGUAUUCAAUUUAUUUUUUUUCUUUCGAAACUAAUUUAAAAUAUAACUAUCUAAAACGGAAUAGCACUUAUUAAAUUAAAUAAAUCAUUCAAUCGAUUUCUUUUAAUUUAUUAAUUAAAUUAAAUAUU